rnacentral:ncRNA from 1 species
CAUUUAAGAGGAUGCGCAUCUUGGAGGAUAGUAUCUCUGGCCGGAAGUUUAGCAACUUUCAUUUCGUGAACUUCACAAAGAUGGAGGUGGAGGCGAAGGAAUGUGCGAGCCCGGACCUAAUGCUCGCCACUGCAAUGAUGCAGAAGAUCCCCUACCAGUACGCCUUCGUCAAGAGGCUGGGAUACCUCAGAUGAGCUAGAGUGAACGGCGAGCGCCCCCUACUACCUAGUGUUCACUGUGCUGCCAGCCACUUGACUGCGAGCGUGACAACUCCAGCGAGGGGCGAGCACCACUGCACAUCGCGCCGAGGGCCCGACGCCUGGCGGAGAAUCAGGGUUCGACUCCGGAGAGCGGGCCUGAGAGACGGCCCGCACAUCCAAGGACGGCAGCAGGCGCGGAACUUGCCCAAUGCGCGCGCGCGAGGCAGCGACGGGGAGUGCGCGAGCGAGGCGGGCCCACAGCCCCCGCCGCGGAGCCGAGGGCAAGGUCUGGUGCCAGCAGCCGCGGUAAUUCCAGCUCGGCGGGCGUCGCGUGGCGCUGCUGCAGUUAAAACGCCCGUAGUUGGCCCCCCGCCGCCACGAGGAAACGGGAGCGCUCCAGGCAGGCCCGUUGGACCCGCCGCGUGGGACCGCGCAGCGGGCGCGG